GAUGAACGCUAGCGGCAGGCCUAAUACAUGCAAGUCGAGGGGGAUUGGAGGGCUUGCUCUCCAUGAGACCGGCGCACGGGUGCGUAACGCGUAUGCAACCUACCUUGAUCAGGGGGAUAGCCCGGAGAAAUCCGGAUUAACACCGCAUAAAAACACAGGGCAGCAUUGUCCAAUGUUCAAAUAUUCAUAGGAUCAAGAUG
rnacentral:rRNA from 1 species